CACGGCUGCGGACGGAACAAAAACAAGUCCACUCUCCGUCAAUCGCCAUGACGGCCCAUCGGAGCGGUGAGCUUUUAUAAAAAUCAACUUUCAUCUUUUGGUGUCAUUGCUGAUACGUUGAUAAUCAAUGAUUCAAUGUUCCAAUCAGUGGAAUCGUAUUGCGAUGACAUCAUAUAUUCAGAUAUCGUGAUGUACCUUUGGCUGCUUUAUGGUGAUAUUUAUCACUAUAAAUCAGAUAGCAAAUGAAAUCAGAUAAUUAUAUUAUAUUAGAUAUUGUUUAUCACGUUGAUGUAAAGUCACCUGGUUAACGAUUAAAUCAAGUAAUCAUGGCGUCAUUAUUGGUCGAAAAAUACAUUGUUCGUUUCUCGUUAGUGUCGAUUCUCUCUGACCAAUCAGACUUCCCCUUCUAGUAUCACCUCAAAUCACCUGGAGCCUCGAAACGGUUCCAUGAAUACAACCAGGUACUAGAGCGAGCCAAGUAGACAGACGUGUGAAGUACAUACAAGCACCCAUGUGGAUCAAAGGGGACCUCUGUUGACCACAGUGCUGCUCCCCAGAGGACAAACCCAUUGACCUUUUCCUCUACUGCCACCGUCUCAUUUCUAGUUUUGAUAUUGGGGUCUACGAUACAACUGUCUCACAACAGGAAGGUCCUGGUUCCUCUCUGUGUGCAGUCUGCAUGUUCUCCCCGUGUCUGCGUGGUUCUCUCCGGUUCUCCGGGUUCCCCCACAGUCCAGAGACCUGCUCUGGGGAUCAGGUUGAUGGGGACUAGUUGCCUGUGGGUGUGUGAGUGGUUGUGUGUCUCUGUGUGGCCCUGUGAUUGGCUCCAGCCCCCCAAGACCCCGUGUGCAGGAUGAGCGGUGUGAGGAUGGAUGGUCUACGAUACACACAGUAAAUAAAAGAAGUGACCACAUCUGGACUGAGGAGGACAUAGAGACGUCGUCUACAUCUCUGGUACAGACCUGUCAGUCAGCUGGUAGCCCCGCCCCCUGGUGGUCACCAGAGAGAAUGCAGCUUUAAUUCACCAAGCUUUGACUUCACUUAAAGAACGGAGGUUGUCUCCUUUCCUAGAGUCCUCAGGAUUGCUGGAUGAAAGGAACCUGCUGCCCCCGUGCACUCAACCAGAGGUCAGAGGUCAGGAAGCUGGCUGGGAGCUGUCUGUGUUCCUCAUUAGCACUCAGCGGGCUUAUCUGGGACACGUGUUCUUUAUCGGCCUGGGCCCACCGGGGUCCAAUAAGGAUCUCCUGAGACCAGGUGAACCCUGACCCAGAGGAGGCGGGAGCUCCUUACCCAGACUGAAGGAGCAGAUGUUGAUGCAGCAGCAGCAGACGCCCGUCACGCAGCGCACGGCCAGGUAGAGGAAGGCCCGGGGGAGGAGGGCGGGCACGAGGCCGCAGAGGGCGUGCACGUACACGCACACCAGCAGCACCGUGCGCUUCCCAUACCUGCAGCAGAGCGGCAGAGCGGCGAGGAGAGGUCAGCGGUGCGCGUGACUCGCAGACAGGUGGAGGACAGACAGGUGGCCGUACCUGUCGGAUACGGCUCCUCCCACCAGCGAUCCCAGCAGCAGGCCGACCAUGUAGAGCGUCUGAGCGUACGCCAACCAGUCCGUCCAGUCACACACUAACUGACGCACACACACGUGGGAAACUUUGUUUUGAUCUCUUUUAUAUUGAUUUCAUGUCCAAAAAUGGCCCCAAAUGCCCACUUUCUAAUGUAUGUAUAUAAUACACACUGUAAAUAUCUCAUUAUAUGUAACACAUAUAAUACAUUAUAUAGAGAAUAUGUAACGUAGCAUUUUGAUCAAGCUUCUUAUGCAUUUGUUUGUGUACAAAAAUAUAAAUUCAUGUUUUCUAGAACCUUCCUGGACACGAUGUAAUACAUCCUAAGCAUUUUCUUCUAGUUUAAAUAUGUAUUUUUGAAGCUUAAUUUCCUCUUGGUAUGGCACACACGUUAAUAACACGCUUAUCUUCACAUA